rnacentral:rRNA from 1 species
GAUGAACGCUGGCGGCGUGCCUAAUACAUGCAAGUCGAGCGAACAGAUGAGAAGCUUGCUUCUCUGAUGUUAGCGGCGGACGGGUGAGUAACACGUGGGUAACCUACCUAUAAGACUGGGAUAACUCCGGGAAACCGGGGCUAAUACCGGAUAAUAUUUUGAACCGCAUGGUUCAAUAGUGAAAGACGGUUUCGGCUGUCACUUAUAGAUGGACCCGCGCCGUAUUAGCUAGUUGGUAAGGUAACGGCUUACCAAGGCGACGAUACGUAGCCGAACUGGGAGGGAGAUCGGCCACACUGGAACGGAGACACGGUCCAGACUCCUACGGGAGGCAGCAGUAGGGAAUCUUCCGCAAUGGGCGAAAGCCUGACGGAGCAACGCCGCGUGAGUGAUGAAGGUCUUCGGAUCGUAAAGCUCUGUUGUUAGGGAAGAACAAAUUUGUUAGUAACUGAACAAGUCUUGACGGUACCUAACCAGAAAGCCACGGCUAACUACGUGCCAGCCGCCGCCGUAA